rnacentral:rRNA from 1 species
UAGGGAAUCUUCCGCAAUGGGCGAAAGCCUGACGGAGCAACGCCGCGUGAGUGAAGAAGGAUUUCGGUUCGUAAAGCUCUGUUGUUAGGGAAGAAUGAUUGUGUAGUAACUAUACACAGUAGAGACGGUACCUAACCAGAAAGCCACGGCUAACUACGUGCCAGCAGCCGCGGUAAUACGUAGGUGGCAAGCGUUGUCCGGAAUUAUUGGGCGUAAAGCGCGCGCAGGUGGUUUAAUAAGUCUGAUGUGAAAGCCCACGGCUCAACCGUGGAGGGUCAUUGGAAACUGUUAAACUUGAGUGCAGGAGAGAAAAGUGGAAUUCCUAGUGUAGCGGUGAAAUGCGUAGAGAUUAGGAGGAACACCAGUGGCGAAGGCGGCUUUUUGGCCUGUAACUGACACUGAGGCGCGAAAGCGUGGGGAGCAAACAGGAUUAGAUACCCUGGUAGUCCACGCCGUAAACGAUGAGUGCUAAGUGUUGGUCUCAUAAGAGAUCAGGGCUGCAGCUAACGCAUUAAGCACUCCGCCUGGGGAGUACGACCGCAAGGUUG